rnacentral:rRNA from 1 species
GAUGAACGCUAGCUACAGGCUUAACACAUGCAAGUCGAGGGGCAGCGGUAUCGAAAGCUUGCUUUCGGUAGCCGGCGACCGGCGCACGGGUGAGUAACGCGUAUCGAACCUGCCUCAUACUCGGGAAUAGCCUUGCGAAAGUAAGAUUAAUGCCCGGUGUUUUCAGAGUCCCGCAUGAGGCUUUGAACAAAGAUUUAUCGGUAUGAGAUGGCGAUGCGUCCCAUUAGCUUGUUGGCGGGGUAACGGCCCACCAAGGCAUCGAUGGGUAGGGGUUCUGAGAUGAAGGUCCCCCACAUUGGAACUGAGACACGUUCCAAACUCCUACGGGAGGCAGCAGUGAGGAAUAUUGGUCAAUGGGCGGAAGCCUGAACCAGCCAAGUAGCGUGCAGGAAGACGGCCCUCCGGGUUGUAAACUGCUUUUAGUUGGGAAUAAAACGGGGCUCGUGAGCCCCCUUGCAUGUACCAUCAGAAAAAGGACCGGCUAAUUCCGUGCCAGCCGCCGCCGUAA